AUGUAUGGACGAGGCUUAGAUGAAGACUUCAGCACUAUAUGGAGCCUUCUCCAAGAUCUUACCUUGCAUGUUAAGGACAUGAAAAACUUAGGCAUCACUGAAUGUUUUGGUUCAGAAAUUGUUCUUGAUAAAAAUAUUCAGCCUAGAAAAGGAAUUUCAACUUUCAACAAAUGUCGCACUGAUCAGAAUUCGGUUAUGAAUGUCGAUCAGAAUCGGCUAUGGUGCUUGGACCAGCUGUGGUUGACAAGUCUUCCGUCCAAGAAUUCUCAUUUUUGGGUGGCGUUUUAUUCUUAA